GUAGUUAGCCGAGACUUAUUCCUGAAGUACCGUCCUUACUCUUCCUUCAGAAAAGCGGUUUACGAUCCGAAAACCUUCUUCCCGCACGCGGCGUUGCUGCGUCAGAGUUGCCUCCAUUGCGCAAUAUUCCUUA
rnacentral:rRNA from 1 species